rnacentral:rRNA from 1 species
UACGGGGGGGGCAAGCGUUGUUCGGAAUUACUGGGCGUAAAGGGCUCGUAGGCGGCCAACUAAGUCAGACGUGAAAUCCCUCGGCUUAACCGGGGAACUGCAUCUGAUACUGGAUGGCUCGAGUUUGGGAGAGGGAUGCGGAAUUCCAGGUGUAGCGGUGAAAUGCGUAGAUAUCGGGAGGAACACCAGUGGCGAAGGCGAUCACCUGGGGUUGUUCUGACGCUGAGGUGCGAAAGCUAGGGGAGCAAACGGG